rnacentral:misc_RNA from 1 species
UCCGGUUUGUCACCGGCAGUCUCGUUAGAGUCCCCAACUGAAUGCUGGCAACUAGAGACAAGGGUUGCGCUCGUUGCGGGACUUAACCCAACAUCUCACGACACGAGCUGACGACAGCCAUGCAGCACCUGUGUUACCGCUCCCUUUCGGGCACACCCGCCUCUCGGCGGGCUUCGGUACAUGUCAAGGGUAGGUAAGGUUUUUCGCGUUGCAUCGAAUUAAUCCACAUAAUCCACCGCUUGUGCGGGUCCCCGUCAAUUCCUUUGAGUUUUAAUCUUGCGACCGUACUCCCCAGGCGGUCAACUUCACGCGUUAGCUACGUUACCAAAUCCUUAAUUAGAUCCGACAACUAGUUGACAUCGUUUAGGGCGUGGACUAC